UCUCCGUUGGUGAACCAGCGGAGGGAUCAUUACCGAGUUUUCAACUCCCAAACCCCAUGUGAACUUAUACCAUUUACAACCGUUGCUUCGGCGGGUUCUCGCCCCGGGCUUUACACCCCGGAACCAGGCGGCCCGCCGGGGGACCCAAACUCUAGAUUUAUAUUUUAGCAUGUCUGAGUGGAAUCAUUACAAAAUGAAUCAAAACUUUCAACAACGGAUCUCUUGGUUCUGGCAUCGAUGAAGAACGCAGCGAAAUGCGAUAAGUAAUGUGAAUUGCAGAAUUCAGUGAAUCAUCGAAUCUUUGAACGCACAUUGCGCCCGCCAGUAUUCUGGCGGGCAUGCCUGUUCGAGCGUCAUUUCAACCCUCAAGCCCCAGCGGUUUGGUGUUGGGGACCGGCGAGUACAGAGGCUUUGGGGACUUGUCCCCCUUCCCUCGGCGCCGCCCCCGAAAUGAAUUGGCGGUCUCGUCGCGGCCUCCUCUGCGUAGUAGCACAACCUCGCAUCAGGAGCGCGGCGCGGCCACUGCCGUAAAACGCCCAACUUUUUUUAAGAGUUGACCUCGAAUCAGGUAGGAAUACCCGCUGAACUUAAGCAUAUCAAUAAGCGGAGGAAAAGAAACCAACAGGGAUUGCCCCAGUAACGGCGAGUGAAGCGGCAACAGCUCAAAUUUGAAAUCUGGCCCCUAGGGCCCGAGUUGUAAUUUGCAGAGGAUGCUUUUGGCGAGGUGCCUUCCGAGUUCCCUGGAACGGGACGCCAUAGAGGGUGAGAGCCCCGUCUGGUUGGAUGCCGAGCCUCUGUAAAGCUCCUUCGACGAGUCGAGUAGUUUGGGAAUGCUGCUCUAAAUGGGAGGUAUAUGUCUUCUAAAGCUAAAUACCGGCCAGAGACCGAUAGCGCACAAGUAGAGUGAUCGAAAGAUGAAAAGCACUUUGAAAAGAGGGUUAAAUAGUACGUGAAAUUGUUGAAAGGGAAGCACUUAUGACCAGACUUGGACCCGGUGAAUCAUCCAGCGUUCUCGCUGGUGCACUUUGCCGGGCUCAGGCCAGCAUCAGUUUGCCUCGGGGGAUAAAGGCUUUGGGAAUGUGGCUCCCUCGGGAGUGUUAUAGCCCAUUGCACAAUACCCUGGGGCGGACUGAGGUUCGCGCAUCUGCAAGGAUGCUGGCGUAAUGGUCAUCAGUGAC
rnacentral:sRNA from 1 species